CUGCAUUGCAACUAAAGAGCGCAGCUUGUUCUUGGGAAACGGAAAUUAGGUUUGCGCCCUGGCGCUUGUUUUGAAUGCCAGGCUUAGCUCUAAAAUACGUGAAGAGAAGAAUUAAAACAUUCUAUUCUACAGUGUUCUGAGGUGGUGCAGUCCAAAGAGGACUGUACCAUGGGCUUUUUCUAUCCAUCUGCUUGCCGAGGUCAUCUGGGGGCCGCUUGAUGAGGUCGUCUGAGAGGGCUCUGCUCCGGGUGCCGACAAUGAGGGAGGCUCGGCUGUCGUGCACGUGGGACAGGGCCUUCUCUGUUGCUGCCCCCAGACUCUGGAAUGCUCUCCCGGUGGCCAUUUGUUCCUCGGACUCCAUCAUGGCUUUUAGAAAGCUUUUAAAGACUUGGCUUUUUACCCAGGCUUGUAUAUGAUUGCCUAUAUUGCUGCUUCUUUGUAUUUUGUACAGUUCUUACGCUUGCAUUUUAAAUCUUUAAAGUCAGAUUUGUUUUAUAUUUUAGCUUAAUAUUUUAAUUGUGUCAUUUUUAUAGUCGUGUGUUUAAUUUUUGUGUGAACCGCCUUGGGAUUGUUUUAAUGAAAGGUGGUAUACAAAUGUAACAAUAAAUAAAAUAAAAAAUCUGAGUAAGACAGAAGCUGGAAAGCUUGGCCUGCCUACUGAGUGAUGCCAUCUCCCUUCCCAGGCGUGCCCACACACAUUGCCAAACUCACAGCAAAAAGAGAUGAGCAGCAUAUAACAAGGGGACAUGACUACAGGGCAUUUGGCAUGGAUAAAUUAGCCAUUUUUGGCUGCUCUUUAUCUGAAAACUCCUUGUAUUUUGAGCCCACUUCUGGUCUGAAGGGUGCUGAAAUGAGUUUGCUCAUCUUGAAGCUGGAGAACGAGGGGCAGAAGAGCUGGAAUGUAGUUUGACAAUCUAGAUCAGGGUUGGGUAUACUUAAGGCUUCCAAGAGUUACAUAUAUAUUUUUUUGGCCAGAGCCUUGGAAGCUACCAACAUGAAAUGGUGAGGAGUUAGAGCUAGUCACAAAAUGGCAGCUUGCGGAAAAAUUUGCAUCGACAGAAUAAGGGAUUUUAACAUCGGAUCCCCUGAAUUCCAGGAUAAUUUUGCUGCAGUGGAGCAAGAGAGGUUGCUUUGCUGAGAAAACUGAAAGGAAAUGAAUAGGAAAGUGAAAGCUAUCCUGAGCACCCAAAGAAACAGAUUAAAAAUGGUGCAGUCAUGCCCCCAGCCAAUGAAAUCUGAAAUAUUGGCUGGAAGGGAGACGAGGGAAAGCAAGCCCCAAAGCCUAGAGAGCUACUUAUAUGCCCAGAAGCUCCUGAGCUAUCCAGUGCCCACUUUUUGAUUUGCCUGACUGAUUUGGAUUUGGAGAAAUCUUCCUGAGAUUGCCCUGGGCCUACUACUGACUGCCUGUGGUCCUGCUUCCUCCCCAACCAUCAUGCCUCCUCAGUCUGUAUGGUUGUGAGGAAUCAGAUCAUUGCAAACACAUCCCAAGUCUCCAGUGCUUUUUUUCCUCCAAAGAAAACUUACUCUUUGGAGGCUAAAGUUUUCAUUGCUCGGAGAUGGGGGAUCAGAAAACAGCAUCAAGAAAUGAGUGAUGGUUCGAGAAGCAGUGGCUGGCUGUUAGUCAUAAAUGAGUUUUUGUUUUGUUUUCUAUUAUUUAAAGAGCAACUUUGCUUUCCAGGGCUAAAUGUAAUUUCCUCGACCAAGAAAUUGCUAGACGGCUUGGCCAUAAACUAAAUAUUACUGUUCCCCAGUAUUGUGGUCCCUGCCAACACGAACGACCUGACCUAAAUAAUACAAGAAAUUGGACAGGCGUGCAUCGUAAGAUAUGAAAUACACCUCUGAGGUUUUUCUCAUCAGCAUAGGGCAGUUAAAAGAAAUGAGGAAUUUCCUGUACUCGGGUAAAUUGUUGCAUUCAUUCAUGCGUCAUAGCCUUUAUCAUGGUUUGGCAAAUAUAGCCUUUACUGGGCCAGUAUAUGAUCUGUUUAGACACAUCAGUGCAGAGUGAGCUUCACUGAGUGCUGGGCCAAGGGGCAUAAACUUUUUAUGUGGGCUGAUGCUGGGCCUGCAAAAACAAAAACUGAAAGUGACUCUGUAACUGCAAAGAAAUGGGGAGGGGAGGAAUUAGACAUUUUGGUGCGCUAUCAGGGACUGAUUAAUUGAUUGCAAUCUCAAUUUUUGCAAAAUGUUCCAGCAAUAGCUAUCUCCAGAGCAAACAUAACCACCAGCCCACCACUGAGCUCUUAGGGAGGUCACAUGAUUGAUUGAUUAAGUGCCCUCAGGUCGGUAUCGACUCUUAGCAAACAGAUAGAUUCUCACCAGGAUGAUCUGUCUUCAACUUGGCCUUUAAAGUCUCUCAGUGGUGCAUUCACUGCUGUCGUAAUUGAGUCCAUCCACCUUGCUGCUGGUCGUCCUUUUCUUCUCUGUCCUUCAACUUUCUCCAGCAUUAUAAGACUUCUCAAGGGGGCUGGGUCUUCGCAUAAUGUGUCUGAAGUAUGAUAGUUUGAGCCUGGUCAUUUGUGCAGCGAGUGAAAAUUUUGGAUUGAUUUGUUCUAGGAUCCAUUUGUUUGUUUUCCUGGCUCUCCAUGGUAUCCUCAAAAGUUUUCUCCAGCACCAAAGUUCAAAAGCGUCAAUGCUUUUUCUAUCUUGCUUCUUCAAAGUCCAGCUUUUGCAUCCAUAGAGUGUCAUGGGGAAAACUAUGAUCCGAACUAUUCUAAUCUUUGUAGGUAUAGACACCCCCACCCCAAGUCCUGCUAUGCUGCCUCAUUGUGGCGGUGUGUGUGUGUGUAUUCCUGGGAGGGAUGUGCGAAGUACGCCGGGAGGUCUACUCCCAGCAGGGUCAUCCAAAGUGCGAAGGUCAUCCCAGCUGCCCAGCUAAAGCAAGCAGGCACCUAUACUGGGCAGCAGCAAUAUAGAAAGUUGCUGGAGGCGGACAAUCAAUUCAGUGACAACAACAAAGGCAUCAUUUCAUACUGUGUGGGAGAAGGCAAUGGUAAACCACUCCAGUAUUUUACCAAGAAAACCACAUGGAUAGACAAAAUAGGGAGGUCACAUAAAUACUCCUAAAACAGAUGAAUAUAUGAAGCAAUCUUAUCUUUAGUCAUACUCUUGAUCCAUGUAGCUCAGUCUUGUCUACACGAGGGGUUCUCAACAGGAAUGACUCAUAGGGGUGUCAAGGGGUAGUGGCUGCUCCCCAGAAAAUAUCCUCAGCUCCCCCUUUCGCUCUCCCUCCCAGCAGGCUAUAACUUGACACCAAAGUGUCAGGUAAUGCUAUCAUAGUAUACUGUAUUAUGGUCCUUUUGCAUGAAUUAAUCAUUUUAAAGGUCUCUGUUGUUUAAAGAAUCCUCAUUCACUCACUCCGCUACCCCAGAACAAGCAACUGAAGCCAGUGCAGCCAGGUAGGUAGGAGACUCCUCCAGCCUCCCAGGAGCCAGGCCAAGCCAUCAUGAUGUAUAGUAAAUCAGAAAUGCAUAGAAGUUCACAGCUUGACAUAAGCAACGCCAUUAUGUUUAACUAAACUCAAGGAUCUGCUCUGCUAGAAGGAUGCUUACUACUGUGUAUUCUCUCUAGUAGUUUUCCAUCCCCCAUAGGUUAGAGUGACCGUGGGAUUUAGAAUGUAGAACAAUUUUGAGAUAAGGCUGUCUGUCUGCCUGCGUGCAUGUUUGUGGUUUAGUCCCUAAUCUUAGCAAGUCAUGAUGACGUAUUUGCUAUGUAGCUGAACAACAUGUUAUUCUGGAGAACAAUUUUAAGAGUAUAAAAUGUAUGCUCUCUGUAAUAGUCCUUUGUCUUGUUUUGAGCAUGAGCCAAACAAUACCAUUACUACUUGAGAGUAAAUAAACCUUUGAUCUUGUUAA